rnacentral:rRNA from 1 species
CCUACGGGAGGCAGCAGUGAGGAAUAUUGGUCAAUGGGCGAGAGCCUGAACCAGCCAAGUCGCGUGAGGGAGUACUGCCCUAUGGGUUGUAAACCUCUUUUGUCGGGGAGCAAAAGCCGGACGUGUCCGGCUGUGAGAGUACCCGAAGAAAAAGCAUCCGCUAACUCCGUUCCAGCAGCCGCGGUAAUACGGAGGAUGCGAGCGUUAUCCGGAUUUAUUGGGUUUAAAGGGUGCGCAGGCGGAUUUUUAAGUCAGCGGUCAAAUCGUGGGGCUAAACCCCAUCCAGCCGUUGAAACUGGGGAUCUAGAGUGUGCGAGAGGUAUGCGGAAUGCGUGGUGUAGCGGUGAAAUGCAUAGAUAUCACGCAGAACCCCGAUUGCGAAGGCGGCCUGCUGGACGAUGACUGACGUUGAGGCUCGAAAGCGUGGGGAGCAAACAGGAUUAGAUACCCCAGUAGUC